rnacentral:tRNA from 1 species
ACCAGUGUGGUUCAGGGGUUUGAAUAUUGGAUUAUGACUCUGGAGACUAGGGUUCAAUUCCUCACAUGGAAA